AUAUAUAUAUAUAUAUAUAUAUGCACACACACCUAAAUGUUUGUAUAUAUAUAAAAUGCAUCUAAGUAUAUGUUCAUGCACAUGUAUUUUAUAUAUAACGUGUGUGUGUGUGUAUACAUAGUGUGACAUUUUGACUGCAUAUAGUUGAUCUACUUGCUGUCCCUCUUCCCUUGCCAUCUUUAAUGUUGUGCAUGCAUAUCACCACAUCACCAUAUUUUGGACAUAAAUUGAGAUCUAAAUGCAUGUUUGCUUUGUUUCUUCCUCAACUGUGAAUAAACCAAAAGAAUAUUUUACACACAAUGAAAUGUGUAACCAAAAAAAAAAUAAAAUAAAAAUAAUAAUAAUGAUGAUGAUGAUGAUGAUGAUGAUAAGGACAACACCAAUAACAAGACUAUUGAAAAAAAAUCUAUCCAAGACUGUGUAAUACAUAAACAUUGUCACUUUUAAUCAACUUUUAUUUCUUUCAAAAAAAAAAAAAAUGUUUUUUGGGUUUUUUUUUUUUUAACCCUCAUCUCUGUCUCUCUGUGUGUGGCCCACUUCUGAUAUCAGAGAGUCAUAAAGAUAUCAUCCUCAUUGUUACUACCACUAUUACUUCAACAACUAAUGCCAAUAUCAACACCGCCACCACCACCACCACCAAUAAUAAUAAAAUAAUAAUAAUAAUAAUAAUAAUAACAACCACAACAACAGGUAUGUUGCACCCCAAUCCUCAUAUCACUGUGUUAACUCAUUAUACCGGUUUUGCUCAAUAUGUGAUAUGAGGAGGGACGUUUAAGAAGUGUCUGUUACCGGAGUUCUGUUUUGUCUUAUUUCUACCUGGUUUUAAUUCUAUUUACCUAUUUAAUUACUCUCUCUCUCUUUUUUACAAAUGCCUUUUCCAUAAUUCUUGUUCAAUUUUUAACUAAUAUUAUAGCAUUAUUUUGGUGUCUCAUUAUGUUUUCUCUUGAUUAUUUUUUGAUUAGUCUUUCUCCUUCGCUUCAGAAAAUCUCAUAUAAAUGAUGGUGGAACUGUAUCAAAACAAGGGUCAGAAGAACAGCCUCCCCCCCGCCACUGACUUUUUUUUAAGAUUUUUUUUUUUAGUUGUGUUUAUUUUUCUAUACUUAAUAUUCAGUUGUAAAUAUUUCACAAGCUGUACAUUUUUUGGAAACGUCCUUAAAAUACUUCCUCCUUGCUCAAUUACAAGUCCUAGUUUAUUCGUUCAAAUGUGGAACUGUCAAAAUUUCCUCCACUGGCUGAUAAUGAAGACUUUACAUAUAGAGAGCACAAGCACACACACACACACACACACACACACAUAUAUAUACUUUUGGCUUUAAUAGUGUAUUUUAUUUUAAGACUAUUUUCUAACAUUUAAAAAUAAUAUAUUAAAGUGUUCAUUUGAAUGCCAGUAUAAUUGAUUACUUCAUUUUAUCUGUUUAGUAAUAAUAAGAUACUAAUUAAAUUCGAGGCUUAUUUUUAUUACUCUUCUCAUUUCUCUACCAAAUAUACUAUACUACACUUGUACCAUUUAUUAGUGUGUGUGUGUGUAUAAUAUAUAUAUAUAUAUAUAUAUAUAGAUGUAUAUGACAUUUUCAGUUAUCAAAGAAUGCAGCUUGAUGAAGUAAUCCAUUACAACAUUAAUAUGUGAGCUUUAAAUCUAGUUUUUUUUUUGUUUUUUUUUCCUCCUUCCACUUCUUUCUCCGUUUCUUUUAAUUGUAUCAAAAUUUUCGGCAGAAAGCUUUAACUUUGAGAAGUGGUGUUUGGUAUCUCCAGUUUUAGCUUAGUUGCUGUUUGAAGGUGUGGAAGGCUGGGCUGUCAUAAGUUCUUCUAUCUAUAUUACUCUAAACAGUUAAGUUAUUGUUUAACCCCAGGUCAGUCCUAUGAUCAAAGGUCUUCUUGCCAGAACCAUCCCAUCUUUACAGACAGUUUAUCUCAGACUACUUCAUUUUAUUUGUUUAAAGGCAGUAAGAGUAUAACUUAGUUACAUCUAGUAAGUCACACAACCCUGUCGAGGCUCCUACAUUGGUUCAACAUAAUUUUAUUUUGUAUUCAAGGUCAAAGUAAACAGUUUAAGUCUUAAAAAAUCUCUCUCUGUUUUAAGUGUUUCUAGUUCUCAUUUUGUCUACAGUUUAUAAAAUUAAAUAUCGCCCUCUAAGUUGGUACUAGACGUUAUCACGUUACUGAACUUGCUAUUACAGAAAAUACAUUCAUUUUAUUGUCUUAUUAAAAUUUUUUUAGGAAGGGUAGAGGGCCUGUUAGAAUUUAAGUUUUAUUAUUUUCAU